UACGGAGGGUGCUAGCGUUAAUCGGAAUUACUGGGCGUAAAGCGCGCGUAGGCGGCUUGUUAAGCUAGAUGUGAAAGCCCCGGGCUCAACCUGGGAACUGCAUUUAGAACUGGCAGGCUAGAGUAUGGCAGAGGAGUGUGGAGUUUCCGGUGUAGCGGUGAAAUGCGUAGAGAUCGGAAGGAACACCAGUGGCGUAGGCAACACUCUGGGCCAAUACUGACGCUGAGGUGCGAAAGCGUGGGGAGCAAACAGG
rnacentral:misc_RNA from 1 species